rnacentral:rRNA from 1 species
GACGAACGCUGGCGGCGUGCCUAAUACAUGCAAGUCGAACGCAUUUUCUUUCACCGUAGCUUGCUACACCGAAAGAAAAUGAGUGGCGAACGGGUGAGUAACACGUGGGUAACCUGCCCAUCAACGGGGGAUAACACUUGGAAACACGUGCUAAUACCGCAUAAUUCCAUUUACCGCAGGGUAGAUAGAUGAAAGGCGCUUUUGCGGCACUAAUGGAUGGACCCGCGGUGCAUUAGCAAGUUGGUGGGGUAACGGCCUACCAAGGCUGAGAUGCAUAGCCGGCCUGAGAGGGGGAUCGGCCAACAUGGGAAUUGGACACGGCCCAGACUCCUACGGGAGGCAGCAGGAGGGAAUCUUCGGCAAUGGACGAAAGGCUGAACGAGCAAAGCCGCGUGAGGGAAGAAGGUUUUCGGAUCGUAAAACUCCGUUGUUAGAGAAGAAAAAGGAUGAGAGUGGAAAGUUCAUCCCUUGACGGUAUCUAACCAGAAAGCCACGGCUAACUACGUG